rnacentral:rRNA from 1 species
CUGCCCUCCACUUCGGGAUAACCUCGGGAAAUCGUGGCUAAUACCGGAUAUGAGCACUCAUCGCAUGGUGGGUGUUGGAAAGAUUUAUCGGUGGGGGAUGGACUCGCGGCCUAUCAGUUUGUUGGUGAGGUGAUGGCUCACCAAGACGAUGACGGGUAGCCGGCCUGAGAGGGCGACCGGCCACACUGGGACUGAGACACGGCCCAGACUCCUACGGGAGGCAGCAGUGGGGAAUAUUGCACAAUGGGCGAAAGCCUGAUGCAGCGACGCCGCGUGGGGGAUGACGGCCUUCGGGUUGUAAA